CUACGGGAGGCACCAGUGAGGAAUAUUGCACAAUGGGGGGAACCCUGAUGCAGCAACGCCGCGUGGAGGAUGACGCAUUUCGGUGUGUAAACUCCUUUUGUAUGUCAAGAAAAUGACGGUAGCAUAUGAAUAAGCACCGGCUAACUCCGUGCCAGCAGCCGCGGUAAUACGGAGGGUGCAAGCGUUACUCGGAAUCACUGGGCGUAAAGGACGCGUAGGCGGGUUGGAAAGUCAGGUGUGAAGUCCUACAGCUUAACUGUAGAACUGCACUUGAAACUUCUAAUCUAGAGUAUGGGAGGGGGAGAUGGAAUUAGUGGUGUAGGGGUAAAAUCCGUAGAUAUCACUAGGAAUACCUAAAGCGAAGGCGAUCUCCUGGAACAUUACUGACGCUAAGGCGUGAAAGCGUGGGGAGCAAACAGGAUUAGAUACCCCCGUAGUC
rnacentral:rRNA from 1 species